GGGACCUGCGGGUGCAUUAGCUAGUUGGUAGGGGUAACGGGCCUACCAAGGCGAUGAUGCAUAGCCGAGUUGAGAGACUGAUCGGCCACAUUGGGACUGAGACACGGCCCAAACUCCUACGGGAGGCAGCAGUAGGGAAUCUUCCACAAUGGACGCAAGUCUGAUGGAGCAACGCCGCGUGAGUGAAGAAGAGUUUCGGCUCGUAAAGCUCUGUUGUUGGUGAAGAAGGACAGGGGGUAGUAACUGACCUUUGUUUGACGGUAAUCAAUUAGAAAGUCACGGGCUAACUACGUGCCAGCAGCCGCGGUAAAAU
rnacentral:rRNA from 1 species